AGUGGCGGACGGGUGAGUAACGCGUGGGUAACCUGCCUCAUACAGGGGGAUAACAGUUAGGAAUGACUGCUAAUACCGCAUAAGACCACAGCACCGCAUGGUGCAGGGGUAAAAACUCCGGUGGUAUGAGAUGGACCCGCGUCUGAUUAGGUAGUUGGUGGGGUAACGGCCUACCAAGCCGACGAUCAGUAGCCGACCUGAGAGGGUGACCGGCCACAUUGGGACUGAGACACGGCCCAA
rnacentral:rRNA from 1 species